AAUUUAGCAUUGUAGGGAAAACAACCUCCCUGUAUGGGGGCUCGUCCGGGAUAUGAAAUAAGGCAGGCGUCGAACGAAUCAAAGUAAAGAUUGGAUAACGUUCUGCUAUCUUCCUGGUAUUCAAAAGGUGACCAUAAGUCAACAGGUAGCGGGAAGGCACACAUGCACACCUUCAAAAAUAUCUCUGCAAACUCUAGCAUUGUAGGGAAAACAACCUCCCUGUAUGGGGGCUCAUCUGGGAUAUGAAAUAAGGCAGGUGUUGAACGAAUCAAAGUAAAUAUUGGAUAACGUUCUGCUAUCUUCCUGGUAUUCAAAAGGUGGCCAUUAGGUAGCGGAAGGCACACAUGCCCACCUUCAAAAAUAUCUCUGCAAAAUUUAGCAUUGUAGGGAAAACAAGUUCCCUGUAUGGGGGCUCGUCCGGGAUAUGAAAUAAGGCAGGCGUCGAACGAAUCAAAGUAAAGAUUGGAUAACGUUCUGCUAUCUUCCUGGUAUUCAAACGGUGGCCAUUAGUUAGUGGGAAGGCACACAUGCACACCUUCAAAAAUAUCUCUGCAAAAUCUAGCAUUGUAGGGAAAACAAGUUCCCUGUAUGGGGGCUCGUCCGGGAUAUGAAAUAAGGCAGGCGUCGAACGAAUCAAAGUAAAGAUUGGAUAACGUUCUGCUAUCUUCCUGGUAUUCAAAAGGUGGCCAUUAGGUAGCGGGAAGGCACACAUGCACACC